rnacentral:rRNA from 1 species
UACAGAGGUGGCAAGCGUUGUUCGGAAUUACUGGGCGUAAAGCGCACGUAGGCGGACUGUUAAGUCGGGGGUGAAAUCCUGGGGCUCAACCUCAGAAUUGCCUCCGAUACUGGCAGUCUCGAGUGCGGGAGAGGUGAGUGGAAUUCCCAGUGUAGAGGUGAAAUUCGUAGAUAUUGGGAAGAACACCAGUGGCGAAGGCGGCUCACUGGCCCGUAACUGACGCUGAGGUGCGAAAGCGUGGGGAGCAAACAGG